UGGGGAAUAUUGCACAAUGGGCGAAAGCCUGAUGCAGCGAUGCCGCGUGGGGGAAGAAGGUUUUCGGAUUGUAAACCCCUGUCGGUGAGGACGAAAAUGACGGUACUCACCAAGGAAGCUCCGGCUAACUACGUGCCAGCAGCCGCGGUAAUACGUAGGGAGCGAGCGUUGUCCGGAAUUACUGGGUGUAAAGGGAGUGUAGGCGGGACUGUAAGUCAGGCGUGAAAUCUGUGGGCUCAACCUACAGACUGCGUUUGAAACUAUGGUUCUUGAGUGAAGUAGAGGUUGGCGGAAUUCCCGGUGUAGCGGUGAAAUGCGUAGAUAUCGGGAGGAACAUCAGUGGCGAAGGCGGCCAACUGGGCUUUUACUGACGCUGAGGCUCGAAAGCGUGGGGAGCAAACA
rnacentral:rRNA from 1 species